rnacentral:rRNA from 1 species
UGAUCCCGCCGGACCCUACUGCUAUCGGGGUGGGACUAANNCNUGCGAGUCGAACGACUUCUAGCCAUGAUGAAGUCGUGGCGCACGGCUCAGUAACACGUGGCUAACCUACCCUUGAGACGGAGAUAACCCCGGGAAACUGGGGCUAAUCCCAGAUAGAUGAGAACUCCUGGAAUGGAUUCUCGUUCAAAAGGCAUUGAGAUCAUGCUUCUUGAUGUCGCUCAAGGAUGGGGCCGCGGCCGAUCAGGCUGUUGGUGAGGUAACGGCUCACCAAACCUAUAACCGGUACGGGCCGCGGGAGCGGGAGCCCGGAGAUGGGAACUGAGACAAGGUCCCAGGUCCUACGGGGCGCAGCAGUUGCGAAAACUCCGCAAUGCACGAAAGUGUGACGGGGCUACCCCGAGUGCUGUUCGCUGAGGAUAGCUUUUGCCAGGUCUAAGGAGCCUGGUGAAUAAGGAGAGGGCAAGUCUGGUGUCAGCCGCCGCGGUAAAACCAGCACCUCAAGUGGUCAGGAUGAUUAUUGGGCCUAAAGCAUCCGUAGCCGGCUCUGUAAGUUU